rnacentral:rRNA from 1 species
GAUGAACGCUAGCUACAGGCUUAACACAUGCAAGUCGAGGGGCAGCAUUGGGAUAGCUUGCUAUUCCAGAUGGCGACCGGCGCACGGGUGAGUAACGCGUAUCCAACCUUCCCCAUAGUAGGGCACAGCCCGGCGAAAGUCGGAUUAAUUCCCUAUGCUGUCCAGAGAGGACAUCUGACCUGGACGAAAGAUUCAUCGCUAUGGGAUGGGGAUGCGUCUGAUUAGGUUGCAGGCGGGGUAACGGCCCACCUGGCCGACGAUCAGUAGGGGUUCUGAGAGGAAGGUCCCCCACAUUGGAACUGAGACACGGUCCAAACUCC